UCUUCUGCGUUUGGAGUUGCUCCCCCCAACCCCGGGCUCGUCGCUUUCUCCAUCCCGACCCACGCGGGGCGCGGGGACAACACAGGUCGCGGAGGAGCGUUGCCAUUCAAGUGACUGCAGCAGCAGCGGCAGCGGCGGCAGCGCCUCGGUUCCUGAGCCCACCGCAGGCUGAAGGCAUUGCGCGUAGUCCAUGCCCGUAGAGGAAGUGUGCAGAUGGGAUUAACGUCCACAUGGAGAUAUGGAAGAGGACCGGGGAUUGGUACCGUAACCAUGGUCAGCUGGGGUCGUUUCAUCUGCCUGGUCGUGGUCACCAUGGCAACCUUGUCCCUGGCCCGGCCCUCCUUCAGUUUAGUUGAGGAUACCACGUUAGAGCCAGAAGAGCCACCAACCAAAUACCAAAUCUCUCAACCAGAAGUGUACGUGGCUGCACCAGGGGAGUCGCUAGAGGUGCGCUGCCUGUUGAAAGAUGCCGCCGUGAUCAGUUGGACUAAGGAUGGGGUGCACUUGGGGCCCAACAAUAGGACAGUGCUUAUUGGGGAGUACUUGCAGAUAAAGGGCGCCACGCCUAGAGACUCCGGCCUCUAUGCUUGUACUGCCAGUAGGACUGUAGACAGUGAAACUUGGUACUUCAUGGUGAAUGUCACAGAUGCCAUCUCAUCGGGAGAUGAUGAGGAUGACACCGAUGGUGUGGAAGAUUUUGUCAGUGAGAACAGUAACAACAAGAGAGCACCAUACUGGACCAACACAGAAAAGAUGGAAAAGCGGCUCCAUGCUGUGCCUGCGGCCAACACUGUCAAGUUUCGCUGCCCAGCCGGGGGGAACCCAACGCCAACCAUGCGGUGGCUGAAAAACGGGAAGGAGUUUAAGCAGGAGCAUCGCAUUGGAGGCUACAAGGUACGAAACCAGCACUGGAGCCUCAUUAUGGAAAGUGUGGUCCCAUCUGACAAGGGAAAUUAUACCUGUGUGGUGGAGAAUGAAUACGGGUCCAUCAAUCACACGUACCACCUGGAUGUUGUGGAGCGAUCGCCUCACCGGCCCAUCCUCCAAGCCGGACUGCCGGCAAAUGCCUCCACAGUGGUCGGAGGAGACGUAGAGUUUGUCUGCAAGGUUUACAGUGAUGCCCAGCCCCACAUCCAGUGGAUCAAGCACGUGGAAAAGAACGGCAGUAAAUACGGGCCCGACGGGCUGCCCUACCUCAAGGUUCUCAAGCACUCGGGGAUAAAUAGUUCCAAUGCAGAAGUGCUGGCUCUGUUCAAUGUGACCGAGGCGGAUGCUGGGGAAUAUAUAUGUAAGGUCUCCAAUUAUAUAGGGCAGGCCAACCAGUCUGCCUGGCUCACUGUCCUGCCAAAACAGCAAGGCCGCCGGUGUUAACACCACGGACAAAGAGAUUGAGGUUCUCUAUAUUCGGAAUGUAACUUUUGAGGACGCUGGGGAAUAUACGUGCUUGGCGGGUAAUUCUAUUGGGAUAUCCUUUCACUCUGCAUGGU
rnacentral:sRNA from 1 species